UCGAACCGGGGCCCGAAACCCGCGGACCGAGGGAGCGAAAGAGGCCGCGCCUUGACCCGCGCGCACUUCCCUCGGACCCAGCUCAGAAGGCUGCCCCGCGCCCCGCGGCUGUGUCCCCACUGGCUGGGAUGCCCGAGUCCUUGGAGCGGGAAGCGGCCCCCAAACAAGGAAACAUCACCUACUGGCCCUCGUCCCUGCUCCUCUGCUUGAAGGGUAGACCCCAGCUCUCUGAACGUUGACUUCCCAAUUUCGGGCCGUACCCUUUUUUUGGCUCAAGGAUUUCGAGAUCAUGGGAAGCCAUAACCCCUAGUAUCUUCCAAGCUCCUAUCUUUCUGGCGGGCGCACCUCUCGUCUUCGGAGAAUUCUGGUCUCUGUCUGGAUUCAGUCUCUUGAUCCCUUGGUUCUGCUGGCAUCCUUGGUCACUCUCUGGAACAGUUGCCCUUCCCCGUUAGCUUGCAUGGGGGUCACAAGCUACGUCUUCCUUUUGAGGAAUCCUCAUUGAGCCCCUUCAGAGGCGGAGGUUUCCGAUUCCAGAAUGUGUUUUGUGUUGUGGGAACCUGGUCCACAGGCUUGGCUCUUUGUUGUCAUUCCCGCAGACCUUUUGCCUCUUUCAGUCCUUUUAUUAGCUGUGUUUGGCUAACCCCUCAGUGACCUACAGGCAAGUUUUCUUUAACGUUCUAGUUGCAGGGAGCAAGGAUCAUUCUGGAGUUGAAGAUGUGAGCCCAGAUUUUGUUGGGAAUGAAGGAGAAAGCUGACUGCUUUUCCGUAACUUGAACUGCGGGCAAAGGAGGGAUGCUCAGCUUGUGGCCAUCAUGUAAUUUGUAUUUAUGGAACUAAGGAUUUGUCUUUCCACCUUGUUUUCCUGUCUCAUCACCUUUUUGUGUGCAUCCACAUCCUGUUAAUCGUAAGAGAUAAAUGUUACCCUUGGCUUGGUUUGAGGUGUUCAGUUUGUUUUGAGGCUUGCAGUGUUCUGUAGGACCUGGAUGGACAGUAGGUUGUUUCUUACAGUACUCAGUACUACUUUCUCUGGUUUCGGAGAUUAGGCCUCGGUUUUUCAGUGUUUAGUGUUUCUGGCAUUUGUAGAUUGAGAUAUUGAGUUUGGUGUAAGUUUUGUUUCCCCAUUUUUAGCUAUGUGAGAAUCAAGGCAGUGUUUUUAGUUUGUCACCUGAUUCAACACUUUGUGCAAAGUUGUCACUCAAAAAUUUUACACACACAAGAGGCCAUUUUUUUUUACUCUGAAAAUCUGUUAAUAAGGCUUCCCCAUGAGUGACUCCCCCUUGACCUCUUUUUCUGCCCCAGAAACAUAAAUAAUUGUUCUUUUACCUCUAGCGCUGCCUUUCUCAUUUAAAUAACCUCCACAACUGUGUUUUCAUCAGCUCUGAAUAUAAGUGAAAGCUGUGAAGUUAAUUUUUCCUGCUUCCUGUUGUUCACAUGGGAACAAUGUUGAGUCUUCCACUCUUAUUUGUACAUUUACCUGAAAUUAGGAUUGGAAGUAAAUUUAACCUUUGGGGAAUAGAUACAGGUAGAGAAUGAACACUAUGAUGUUAAGGAAAAUAAUGAAGUUUGACAUGGAAAAUUUUUUUCCAGGGAUAUUUUCCUACAGAUUAGAGCUUAAGAGAUAGCUUUUUCUAUAUUUAACUGCCUGGGCACCCAGGAUAAAUGUGCAGGUUACCUCUGGAGAAGAAGAAGAGGAAGGGACUCGUGGAGUUGAAUGUCUUUGUGGCUUUGAAAUUACCUUUCUUGAUGACCCUGGGGAAGGUCAGAGGUUAGGCUCUGUUUACUUUAUCCUUACAUCUGUCUUCUAGGCUCCCACGCCAGCGCCAGCGGGGAGGACACUGCUUUCUACAGCUGCUCAGAAGCACCACUGGAAGCUCAGAUCUAAAGAACUGGAGCCUGAUUGGAAGAAAUAGGUGACAAAGUUCAUAUGCAUUGAAGUGUUCAGACCAAAAUGAUACAUAAUGACAAUGGACAAAAGCAUAUAUGAAAGGUGACAACAAGAGAAACGGGAGAGAGAACUUUCUUAGGAGUCAUAUAGACCCAAGAUAGUAAUAAACAGGCGUGUUUGGAGGAAUGGAAUCAAUUUUAGGAAGUGGUGCCUAGAGCAGGCCUACAAUGAAAAAGGAGCGCUUGACAAAAGAGAACACAAAGGAAAAAAGGGAAUGAAUAAAGAAGGCAAAGUGAAGGUGGUCAAUGAGAAGAAAAGAAGCCUUGCCAGACUAGGGAACAAGAAGUCUAUGUGAGAUGUGGGCACCCCAGCCAACAGCAGAGAGGGGUGCAGGGGAGCCACAGAGAAGCCCCUUCUGAUGCCCCAAGGAGCAAGCCGACCCCUUCCAGGCUCCAGGAACACCACAAAGCA